AUUGAACGCUGGCGGCAGGCCUAACACAUGCAAGUCGAACGGUAACAGGGAUCAGCUUGCUGAUUCGCUGACGAGUGGCGGACGGGUGAGUAAUGUCUGGGAAACUGCCUGAUGGAGGGGGAUAACUACUGGAAACGGUAGCUAAUACCGCAUAACGUCGCAAGACCAAAGAGGGGGACCUUCGGGCCCCUUGCCAUCGGAUGUGCCCAGAUGGGAUUUGCUGGUAGGUGGGGUAACGUCUCACCUAGGCGACGAUUCCUAGUUGGUAUGGGAGGAUGACCAGCCACACGGGAACUGAGACACGGUCCAGACUCCUGCGGGAGGCAGCAGUGGGGAAUAUUGCACAAUGGGCGCAAGCCUGAUGCAGCCAUGCCGCGUGUAUGAAGAAGGCCUUCGGGUUGUAAAGUACUUUCAGCGGGGAGGAAGGGAGUAAAGUUAAUACCUUGGCUCAUUGACGUUACCCGCAGAAGAAGCACCGGCUAACUCCGUG
rnacentral:rRNA from 1 species